AAACUUUCAACAACGGAUCUCUUGGUUCUGGCAUCGAUGAAGAACGCAGCGAAAUGCGAUAAGUAAUGUGAAUUGCAGAAUUCAGUGAAUCAUCGGAUCUUUGAACGCACAUUGCGCCCUGUGGUAUUCCGCAGGGCAUGCCUGUUCGAGCGUCAUUU
rnacentral:rRNA from 1 species